rnacentral:rRNA from 1 species
GACGAACGCUGGCGGCGUGCUUAACACAUGCAAGUCGAACGGAAAGGCCUGCUUUCCCUUGUGGAUUGCGGGUACUCGAGUGGCGAACGGGUGAGUAACACGUGAGUGAUCUGCCCCCAGCUUGGGUAUAAGCCUGGGAAACUGUGUCUAAUUCCCGAUAGGACUGCAGGGUGGUGCCUGUGGUGGAAAACGAUUUUCUAGUGGUUGGGGAUGAGCUCGCGGCCUAUCAGCUUGUUGGUGGGGUAAUGGCCUACCAAGGCGGCGACGGGUAGCCGGACUGAGAGAGUAGACGGCCACAGUGGGAAUAAGAUACGGCCCAGAAUGAAACGGGAGGCAGCAGAGGGGAAUAUUGCACAAUGGGAGGAAGCCUGAUGCAGCGACGCCGCGUGGAGGAUGACGACCAGCGGGUUGUAAACUCCUAUCGACCGCAAGAAAGCAACCUGGUUGGAAGAGUGGUGACGGUAGUGGAAGAAGAAGCACCGGCUAACUACGUG